AACUCGGCCAUUUAGAGGAAGUACAAGUCGUAACAAGGUAUCCGUAGGUGAACCUGCGGAAGGAUCAUG
rnacentral:rRNA from 1 species